rnacentral:rRNA from 1 species
UACGGAGGAGGCAAGCGUUAUCCGGAAUUAUUGGGCGUAAAGCGCGCGCAGGCGGUCCUUUAAGUCUGAUGUGAAAGCCCACGGCUCAACCGUGGAAGGUCAUUGGAAACUGGAGGACUUGAGUACAGAAGAGGAAAGCGGAAUUCCACGUGUAGCGGUGAAAUGCGCAGAUAUCAGGAGGAACACCAAUGGCGAAGGCAGCACUCUGGGACGUGACUGACGCUGAGACGCGAAAGCGUGGGGAGCAAACAGG